rnacentral:rRNA from 1 species
GACGAACGCUGGCGGCGUGCUUAACACAUGCAAGUCGAACGGAAAGGCCCUGCUUUUUUGGUGUGCUCGUGUGGCGAACGGGUGAGUAACACGUGAGUAACCUGCCCUUUACUUUGGUAUAACUUCAGGAAACUGGGUCUAAUACCGGAUAGGAGCUCCUGCUGCAUGGUGGGGGUUGGAAAGUUUCGGCGGUUGGGGAUGGACUCGCGGCUUAUCAGCUUGUUGGUGGGGUAGUGGCUUACCAAGGCUUUGACGGGUAGCCGGCAUGAGAGGGUGACAGGCCAAAAUGGGACUGAGAUACGGAGCAGAGUGCAAGGGGAGGCAGCAGUGGGGAAUAUUGCAAAAUGGGCGGAAGCAUGAUGCAGAAACGCGGCGUGCGGGAUGACGGCCUUCGGGUUGUAAACCGAUUUCGAAUGUGAAGAAGAGUGAGUGACGGUAAUGGGUAAAGAAGCAACGGCUAACUACGUG